rnacentral:lncRNA from 1 species
CCCACCUGAUUUAUUUUAGAUUGUUCGGCGGAGCUUCCUGUUUGAACCGGAGGAACUGCGCUGUAACAUCCGCAGUUCGCCACUAGAUGGCCACCGAGGACAGCUUCUGCAUGUGGCGUUCGGCUGUGGUUCAGCAGCGACAGCAUUACCGUGUAACGAGACUCCGCAAAGAAUAGAAAAGGGACAAGUCAGAGGUGCUCUCCAGCAUCUGCGCUCAUGGGCCGGAGGUGUCUGUGCACUGACACAGCAGGGACAUAGGAAAGCUGUCUGACGAUCCCGUUGAGACUGGAUUCACACGUCUGUGGGCACCUGCUGUCAUUCUGAAGAGUGAUAAUCGCUUAAGGCUGUUAUCGUAAGUCAUUCACCUAUUUCCUCAUGUUUGUGAUAUCUGCAUAUCUGGCUGCGAUCUCAAGCCUGUAGAGACGCUUCCUGGACUGGGACCUUGGAUAGUGUGUUGCUAAAGAAGUUACUGUUUGUUUUCAAAGGUGGAAUAGGGGAGAUUCCUCACCUCCCAAGGCUAAUUUAAUAAUAAUUGCUUAUACUUAUAUAGCAGUUUUCUGGACACUCCACUCAAAGCACUUUACACGUAAUGGGGAAUCCCACUACCACCACCAGUGUGCGGCCCCACCCGGAUGAUGCUCCAGUACUCUCACCACACACCAGCUCUCAGUGGGGAGGAGAGCAGGCCAUGGGGAUUAUUAGGAGGCCAUGACUGGUAAAGACCAGGGGGAAAU